CACAGGAUGUAGAAGCCACCAGAAGGCAGGGAAGCUCUUACAAUAUGUUGAGGAGAAGGUUGUUCUUCAAGCAAGUGUGUCCCAAGGACCUUCUCAGCAACACUAGGAGAUAAUAAAACAUUCAGGUAAAACUACCAGUGCUGCCAAGAUGAGCUCUAUAACCAAGGGGACUUCCAAGUGCCUCAGGAAUCCUCAGUACCCAAUGGCAUUAAGUGUCCUGCCUGCUACAACGUGUAUGAUGUUUCCUGCGACCCAGUUCUUCUUGCCUGCACUGGUACAGAGACAAAGCGUGUGGAAGUUAUUGGCAUAGGUACAACUAUUUCCACAGGAUUCUUGGUGUUCAUUUUCUCAAAGGAUAUAUCUGUGCUAGUUAUCUUUGCUGUGUAAUCAUUACUCCAAAACUUGGCAGUUUAAAACAAUGAGCAUUUAUUAUUUCAUGGCAUCUGAGGGUCAGGAGUUUGGAAGUGGCCUAGCUAAGUGCUUCUGGCUGAGUUUCUCAUGAAGUUGUAAUCUAGCUGUCAGCAGGGCCUGUCACCAGGAAGACCUGCUUCCAAGAUCACCCAUGUAGUUGUCAGGCUUGGUUCUUCUCUACAUGGGUCUCUGUGUGGGCUGCCUGGAUGUCCUUAUAAUGUAUUC